rnacentral:rRNA from 1 species
UACGUAGGGGGCUAGCGUUGUCCGGAAUCAUUGGGCGUAAAGAGCGUGUAGGCGGCUUGGUAAGUCCGCUGUGAAAGUCCAGGGCUCAACCCUGGAAUGCCAGUGGAUACUGUCAAGCUAGAGUCCGGAAGAGGCGAGUGGAAUUCCUGGUGUAGCGGUGAAAUGCGCAGAUAUCAGGAGGAACACCAAUGGCGAAGGCAGCUCGCUGGGACGGUACUGACGCUGAGAGACGAAAGCUAGGGGAGCGAAUGGG